rnacentral:rRNA from 1 species
GAUGAACGCUGGCGGCGUGCUUAACACAUGCAAGUCGAACGGUGAACGAGGGAGCUUGCUCCCUCCGGAUCAGUGGCGAACGGGUGAGUAACACGUGAGUAACCUGCCCUUGACUCUGGGAUAAGCGUUGGAAACGACGUCUAAUACCGGAUACGACGCGCGAAGGCAUCUUCUGCGCGUGGAAAGAACUUCGGUCAAGGAUGGACUCGCGGCCUAUCAGCUAGUUGGUGAGGUAACGGCUCACCAAGGCGACGACGGGUAGCCGGCCUGAGAGGGUGACCGGCCACACUGGGACUGAGACACGGCCCAGACUCCUACGGGAGGCAGCAGUGGGGAAUAUUGCACAAUGGGCGCAAGCCUGAUGCAGCAACGCCGCGUGAGGGACGACGGCCUUCGGGUUGUAAACCUCUUUUAGUAGGGAAGAAGCGAAAGUGACGGUACCUGCAGAAAAAGCACCGGCUAACUACGUGCCAGCCGCCGCCGUAAUAC